rnacentral:rRNA from 1 species
CUACGGGGUGCAGCAGUGGGGAAUAUUGCACAAUGGAGGAAACUCUGAUGCAGCAACGCCGCGUGGAGGAUGACACUUUUCGGAGCGUAAACUCCUUUUAUAUAGGAAGAAGAUGACGGUACUAUAUGAAUAAGCGCCGGCUAACUCCGUGCCAGCAGCCGCGGUAAUACGGAGGGCGCAAGCGUUACUCGGAAUCACUGGGCGUAAAGAGCGUGUAGGCGGAUUAAAAAGUCAGAAGUGAAAUCCUAUAGCUUAACUAUAGAACUGCUUCUGAAACUCUUAAUCUAGAAAAUGGGAGAGGUAGAUGGAAUUUCUGGUGUAGGGGUAAAAUCCGUAGAGAUCAGAAGGAAUACCGAUUGCGAAGGCGAUCUACUAGAACAUUAUUGACGCUGAGACGCGAAAGCGUGGGGAGCAAACAGGAAUAGAUACCCGGGUAGUC